CAUUAAGAAGCUAUGUAUCCAGCACUAGCCUUUUAAGCUAGAGAAAGAGGACAUCCCCUCCUUAAUGA
rnacentral:tRNA from 1 species